CUCAAUUAUAAUAUCAGUGCAGCCACGGGUGAGAUAACCAGGUCCUGCUGUUAUAAGUGUAAGUGUCACAGAAAUGGCUUAUGUAUAAAGAAGUUUAAUAGAUGGUUCCAGCAGUUAAAAUGUUCUUGCUUGUACAUUUCUGUGGACAAUAGUGUAAAGGUGUGUUUAUCUUGUCACAAAGAACAAGUUUUGUUACACCGCUAAUAUCGCGAGGUUUGGGCGUGGUAAUAUAGGCUGUGAGCCCACGUUUAAUAAUCACGCUAAGGAGUUCAGCGAGCUAUCUGCAAAAGCCUGGUUAGUCUACCAGCUGUUCAAGAAUGCACAGGACUGUAAAGUUAUUGUUCUAGGACCUCCGAAGUGGCAGGCGGCCACGAGAACUCAUGGUGAGUUCACACCCUUGGCCCACGCCUUCCUGGAUUGGGAACACCUGGGCCUCAUCAGACCAGCUGGUAUUUAAGAGCUAGGAGGUCUGCUGUUCGGCGCUGGACUGUUGUGAAGACUCUCAUUCCCCGGACCCGUCCCCGUGUUUCCCCAUAUGAAGUGUGGAAGAAGCGACUGGUCACUAGUGGAAAGAGAGAGGUCAGAGUGGACGUGUGUGAUUCCCCUUUUUGCC